rnacentral:rRNA from 1 species
UCGCCCUUAGAGUUGGAUCCUGGCUCAGGAUGAACGCUAGCGACAGGCCUAACACAUGCAAGUCGAGGGGCAUCAAGGAGUAGCAAUACUCUGCUGGCGACCGGCGCACGGGUGAGUAUCGCGUAUGCAACCUGCCUACCACAGGGGGAUAGCCCUAAGAAAUUGGGAUUAAUACCGCAUAAAACAGGGGCUUCGCAUGGAGCUAUUAGUUAAAGAGUUAUCGGUGGUAGAUGGGCAUGCGUUCCAUUAGUUAGUUGGCAGGGUAACGGCCUACCAAGGCAGCGAUGGAUAGGGGCACUGAGAGGUUUGUCCCCCACACUGGGACUGAGACACGGCCCAGACUCCUACGGGAGGCAGCAGUGAGGAAUAUUGGUCAAUGGGCGAGAGCCUGAACCAGCCAAGUCGCGUGAAGGAUGAAGGGUCUAUGGCUUGUAAACUUCUUUUGUCAGGGGGUAAAUUGCGGGACGUGUCCUGUAUUGCAAGUACCUGACGAAUAAGCAUCGGCUAACUCCGUGCCAGCAGCCGCGGUAAUACGGAGGAUGCGAGCGUUAUCCGGAUUUAUUGGGUUUAAAGGGUGCGUAGGCGGGGAUUUAAGUCAGCGGUGAAAACUACAGGCUCAACCUGUAGACUGCCGUUGAAACUGGGUUUCUUGAGAAUGGAUGGAGCAGGCGGAAUUAGUGGUGUAGCGGUGAAAUGCAUAGAUAUCACUAAGAACUCCGAUAGCGCAGGCAGCUUGCUAAGGCAUAUCUGACGCUGAUGCACGAAAGUGUGGGUAUCAAACAGGAUUAGAUACCCUGGUAGUCCACACAGUAAACGAUGAUUACUAGUUGUUUGCGAUAUACAGUAAGUAACUAAGCGAAAGCGAUAAGUAAUCCACCUGGGGAGUACG